GAUGAACGCUAGCGGCAGGCUUAACACAUGCAAGUCGAGGGGUAGUCUAGCAAUAGAUGAGACCGGCGCACGGGUGCGUAACGCGUAUGCAAUCUACCUUUUACAGAGGGAUAGCCCAGAGAAAUUUGGAUUAAUACCUCAUAGUAUAACGACUCGGCAUCGAGAUGUUAUUAAAGUUCCAACGGUAAAAGAUGAGCAUGCGUCCCAUUAGCUAGUUGGUGUGGUAACGGCACACCAAGGCAACGAUGGGUAGGGGUCCUGAGAGGGAGAUCCCCCACACUGGUACUGAGACACGGACCAGACUCCUACGGGAGGCAGCAGUGAGGAAUAUUGGUCAAUGGGCGCAAGCCUGAACCAGCCAUGCCGCGUGCAGGAUGACGGUCCUAUGGAUUGUAAACUGCUUUUGUACAGGAAGAAACACUCCCUCGUGAGGGAGCUUGACGGUACUGUAAGAAUAAGGAUCGGCUAACUCCGUGCCAGCAGCCGCGGUAAUACGGAGGAUCCAAGCGUUAUCCGGAAUCAUUGGGUUUAAAGGGUCCGUAGGCGGGUUUAUAAGUCAGUGGUGAAAGCCCAUCGCUCAACGAUGGAACGGCCAUUGAUACUGUAGAUCUUGAAUUAUUAGGAAGUAACUAGAAUAUGUAGUGUAGCGGUGAAAUGCUUAGAGAUUACAUGGAAUACCAAUUGCGAAGGCAGGUUACUACUAAUGGAUUGACGCUGAUGGACGAAAGCGUGGGUAGCGAACAGGAUUAGAUACCCUGGUAGUCCACGCCGUAAACGAUGGAUACUAGCUGUUCGGAGCAAUCUGAGUGGCUAAGCGAAAGUGAUAAGUAUCCCACCUGGGGAGUACGUUCGCAAGAAUGAA
rnacentral:rRNA from 1 species